AGCGAACGCUGGCGGCAGGCUUAACACAUGCAAGUCGAACGGUCCUUCGGGAUAGUGGCGGACGGGUGAGUAACACGUGGGAACGUACCCUUAGGUUCGGGACAACACAGGGAAACUUGUGCUAAUACCGGAUGAGCCCUUCGGGGGAAAGAUUUAUCGCCUUUGGAGCGGCCCGCGUCUGAUUAGCUUGUUGGUGAGGUAAUGGCUCACCAAGGCUACGAUCAGUAGCUGGUCUGAGAGGAUGGCCAGCCACACUGGGACUGGGACACGGCCCAGACUCCUACGGGAGGCAGCAGUGGGGAAUCUUGCGCAAUGGGCGAAAGCCUGACGCAGCCAUGCCGCGUGGAUGAUGAAGGUCUUAGGAUUGUAAAAUCCUUUCACCGGGGACGAUAAUGACGGUACCCGGAGAAGAAGCCCCGGCUAACUUCGUGCUAGCAGCCGCCGUAA
rnacentral:rRNA from 1 species